rnacentral:lncRNA from 1 species
CCAAGCCGCUGCAGUGACCACAUGUGAGCCUGAACCUGCUGCACUGCAAGAAAACUCCAUGAACUCAUGGAUCCUAGUUGGGUUCGCUGAGCAACAACACAGCACCAAAGGAAACUUUUUAUCACUGCUGCAAAUAGAAAACCAGUAUCCCUUGUUGUAAGGAGAAGGUAACAAAAAAUAAAAUGAAAAAACUUGUGCCUUCAUUCUCCCUAGAUAUGAUCACAUGCUCACUAGGAAUUCUUUGGAGCUGGAGGCCUUUUUCUCUCUCUUUGUUAAAGAAAAGACAAGGUGAGAUAAGCUAAGCUAGGGAGGUGUUAAAGGCUCUAGCAGCAAAAUGAGACUUUGUCCUGGACUAAUUGGAAGUGUUGAAAGGGAAUUGGAAAGAGAAUGGCUUUCUCUCUCUCCCCCUCCUUUUUUCUUUUUUUUUUUUUUUUUUUUUUUUUGGUCUUUUUGCUAUUUCUUGGGCCGCUCCAGCGGCAUAUGGAGGUUCCCAGGCUAGGGGUCCAAUUGGAGCUGUAGCCACCAGCCUACGCCAGAGCCACAGCAACGCGGGAUCCGAGCCGCGUCUGCAACCUACUUCACAGCUCACGGCAACGCCGGAUCGUUAACCCACUGAGCAAGGGCAGGGACCAAACCCGCAACCUCAUGGUUCCUAGUCGGAUUCGUUAACCACUGCGCCACGACGGGAAUUCCCCCCUCCUUUUUUCCCUCUUUCUCUUCCUCUCUUCUCCUCCCUCCCUCUCCUCUCNUUCAAUAGCAUAUCACUCUAUUUCCAAGUGACAUGAUUUAAAAACCAGAUGCCUCUACUUUUGAAAAUUCUAGGCCCUGUACUGGUGUUGACUUCAAGUUUGUAAUGACAGGGGUCUAUCCAAUGCAGCGCCUCCACCGCCCACCCUGGAAACAUGGACCCCCACCCCUCCCCUCCCUCUCCCCUCUCCUCCCUCCACCCCUCCCCCAACACUCUCGGUCUCUCUGUCUAAAAUAAACCGAGGUGGUCCCUGGUCUGGGCGUCCUAGGACGUGUCUGAACACCCCGCGGAGGAAGAAGACAGCACCAGCCACUGCUGGCACGGGGCUGCAGCCCCUGGCUACACACACCUCCGAAAGACAGCGGCGACUUCGGACACCUCUCUCCUGCCCCAGCCUGACUCCCCAGGGGCGGUGUGAAACCACGAGUGAUAAUAUCUCCCAUCGCCAGCUUUGAACUUCAGGUAGAAGGAGACCUUAUGGCAGUUGGACUAUCUGAGAGGUCAGUUUCUCCCUGCUUCCAACAGGGGGUGUGAUGUGGGUGGAAGCGGGGCCCUGGCCAAGUGGGGUGCGUUCAUCACCUCCUUUCUUGCCUUGCAACAAACAGACCUGGUGCCCUGUGCUGCCUCCUGCAUAAUGCAUGUGCUCGUGGUAGGAACAGAACCCCGUCCGUGGUGAGUCUGGCCACUGUGGGCCAUGGACGUGUCCAGAGGCCUUGCCAAGGCUGAUGUCUCUAGGAUGUUGGCAGGAGAUGAGGAGACAGAGGGAGUAUGUGUCACCUGAAAAUUUUCCUGGGGCUGAGGUGGGAACAGGUUGCAUCUUGAGCCUCAGGAUUCUGCAAAGAAAAUAGGGGAAGACAUGAGUUCCCAUGGCUCAGCGGUAAGGAACCAAAAUAAUACCCACGAGGACGUGGGUUUGAUCCUUGGCCCUGAUCAGUGGGUUAAGGAUCCGGCAUUGCUGUGAGAUGUGGUGUAGGCUGCAGACUUAGCUUGAAUCCUGCAUUGCUGGCUGUGGGGUAGGUCAGCAGCUGCAGCUCUGAUCUGCAGACCCUAAAAAAGAAAAAAAGAAAAAAAAAAGUGGGCAGUCAGAGUGCCUCACAAGCCCAGGGAAGGCAUCACCUCAUUGGUUGGAUUCCACUCAUUCAUAGAAUCAGUAAGUACUCAAGGCCAAGCUAACUGCUAGGGCUUAAGAUAUGAAGAUGAGGAGUUCCCAUUGUGGCUCAGUGGUUAACGAAGCCAACUAGGAACCAUGAGGUUGUGGGUUCGAUCCCUGGCCUCACUCAGUGGGUUAAGGAUCUGGCGUUGCCUCGAGCUGUGGUGUAGGUCGUAGACUCAGCUCAGAUCCCACAUUGCUGUGGCUCUGGCGUAGGCCAGCGGCUACAGCUCUAAUUGGACCCCUAGCCUGGGAACCUCCAUAUGCCCCGGGUGCAGCCCUAGAAAAAAAAGACAUGAAGAUGAAUCAGGGGAGUUCCUGUUGUGGCUCAGUAGGUUAAGGACCCAAUGUUGUCUCUGUGAGGAUGUGUGUGCAUUUGAUCUCCGGCCUUGCUCAUUGGGUUAAGGAUCCAGUGUUGCUGUGGCUGUGUUGUAGGCUGGCAGCUGCAGCUCUGAUUCAACCUGUGGCCUGUGAACUUCCAUAUGCCACAGGUGCAACCAUAAAAAGAAAAGAAAAAAAAAAAAGGUGAAUCAGGGAGUUCCCGUCGUAGAUUAGUGGGUUAAGAAUCUGGGAGUUCCCGUCGUGGCGCAGUGGUU